GCAAGAAAUAGAGAAGAAGGGGAAAGUAAUAGCAAAGCCACAAAAAAGGGAGUCCGAGAAGCACGGAGGAGUCAUUGCCUGCUGACCGGAAUCCACCACCGCCACUGCCAUCGCCAUUGUCGUUGAAUUUCUUCACCAGAAGAACAUUGUGAACUUUCGAUGGUUUUGAAAGAUUUCCAAGUUAGCAAAGGGUAAUAAGAUCUCCUGUUUUAUUCCGGUGAUUUGAGUUUCAGAUGAUUCUCUAUUUAUGUGGUGCAUGCUUUGAUUUGUGUUCUUUACAUGAACUUUUGCCUCCAUUUAUGUGGACCAUUGUCUCAGGGCCAACUUCUUCUUCCAAUUGAAAGCUUCCAUUUCCUAAUUUUGCAAGGUGAGCUCUUUGCUUUAUUUUGCCUUUUCGUGAUUUUGUCCUUGUAAAGAAAGGCCUAAUGAGUCAGAGUGUUCAAAUCAGCGCAAUGGUUCACUGAAGGAUGUUAAUGAAUAUGUUAUUAAUUCUUGAUAGCAUAUUGGAGUUGAGCUUUUCUAAAUGGGUCGCCGAUGAAAAUAUGCAAGCUUAGAAGAAGCGUAUGAAGAAAGGAUUAGAAAGAGACGUGAGCAACGUGCCAGUCUGAGUGCUAAGCAUGACUGUGGUAGAUAUCAAGGUGUAUGUAUUAUAGCUAUAAGUGCAUUUAACAUAUGCGAAUCGAGCAUGACGAGGAUAACAGGUGAUAUCAAUUCAUAUAUCAGCCACCCUGGUGUAUUGAGCAUGACUUAAUAAACCAGGAAAAGGAUUCUCUCACA